UUUUGUUUUUUUAAAUUGUUUAGAGUGUGUUCUCAGUGAAAAGCUAACUCCUACAUUUUACAGUUUUAAACUGUGAUCCCAUCUGCUUUAACGUUGAGUGCUGAGCUGGGAAAACUCCAGGAGACCUCAGCGAGAUGCUGAAGAUGACAUUGCUUGUUGAGUUGUGGUCUCCUCUCUGCCACGGGAGCCUCCAGUGAUGACUCCAGGAGGACGCUGGUGGAUGAAUAUUUGAUGGGUACAGUGCCUGACACAGUGCUUCUCUCACCUAUGACGUUUCAAACGGGACCACUGAAAUAAGCAAUUACCUCAGCAGAGGUUGGCUUCUCCUCAGUUAUCUUCUGCUCUCUCUGAUGGAUGUGCUUCAAGCAGAGAAUAAUGUGGAAUGGCAACUGAGACAUCGGGACAUGCUUGGAUAUAUAAAGGUACAAGAUUCAAAUAUGACAUUAGAAGAGAAAAACACUUCUUGUUCGCAGUACAAUUGCACAUAUAAAUUCGCUAAUGAAAUCCAUAGAGCGAUUUAUCGUAAUGUUAAAAAUGUGACGUCAGGAGGAAAUAAAAUGAAUUUCAAUUUUUUUUCCUUACCUUUUGUAUAAUUAUGUUAUUUUCUAUUAGGUAUGUGGAUUUUAACAAUCUGAAUCUUCCAAUGAAACAACUUUGACACAGUCUGAAUUACGAGUAUCUAUAGCACUUCAAAUUUUCCCACUAAUUUCACAUAAUUCACCUGUUAGAUUCUUUUGUUGGUGCUGCUGAAGGCUGAUCAUAGUACAAGGCAAAUUGGAUCGUGCCUUUUUAAGAGAGGAAAAAAUGAAAUAACCUCAUGGACCUCCUGGCUUAAGCCUAAGCAUGUCUGCCUACCCAAAGUGACAAUAAUAGUAAAUCCAGGGAAAACAGACACAUUAUGAAAAACUUUAACACUCUCAUAAAAGGAAACUUUUUCCAGAGGCUGUGUGGGUGUGCUUUCUUCUCUAAAACAGAAGAAAGUUAUUCUGUGAAGAAAAGCUGUUUAACAGAAAUCUUUAAAAAUAUAGGUUAAAAGAGUAAAGAAGAAAGGGUUAAAACAUUAGCAACCACAAUAGAUCUGUGAUCUUACUUCGUGUCAUUAACAUCAUGGAUUUUAUGCAAAUAAAAAUAGUUUGUGAGUCACACAUACAU